rnacentral:rRNA from 1 species
GAUGAACGCUGGCGGCGUGCCUAAUACAUGCAAGUCGAGCGAACAGACGAGGAGCUUGCUCCUCUGACGUUAGCGGCGGACGGGUGAGUAACACGUGGAUAACCUACCUAUAAGACUGGGAUAACUUCGGGAAACCGGAGCUAAUACCGGAUAAUAUAUUGAACCGCAUGGUUCAAUAGUGAAAGACGGUUUUGCUGUCACUUAUAGAUGGAUCCGCGCCGCAUUAGCUAGUUGGUAAGGUAACGGCUUACCAAGGCAACGAUGCGUAGCCGACCUGAGAGGGGGGUGGGCCACCCUAGAACUGAUACGCGGUCCAGACUCCUACGGCAGGCAGCAGUAGGGAAUCUUACGCAAUGGGCGGAAGCUUGACGGAGCAACGCCGCGUGAGUGAUGAAGGUCUUCGGAUCGUAAAACUCUGUUAUUAGGGAAGAACAAAUGUGUAAGUAACUAUGCACGUCUUGACGGUACCUAAUCAGAAAGCCACGGCUAACUACGUG